CUUCCCUCUAUCUCUGGAUUAGCCAACAGACAGCAAUCUUUUGGAUCAUGACAAUAAAUUACCUUUUUAUUCACUUUCCCCAAGCCUUCCAAAGGAGGAGAUGGAGGAGGGGAAGGGAGAGAGGGGGUGAGUCUGGAGGAGGAGGGGGAGUCGCAAGAACACUCAGACAUCUCACAGGCAAACAGUGCUCACCCCCACUACACCUCACCGUAGGCUUCUCUUGCCAGCACCACCACCAGCCCCAUUUGACAGAUGGAGGACAGGAGGCUCCGAGAGUUAAAAAUGGCUUGCUCUGGGGUCACCCAGCCAGAGGGUGGGGAAGGCGACUCCACUCAGGCCUUCUGACUCCAAGUCCAGUGCUAUUUCGAGGUGACACACAGGACCUGGAGUCAGGAGCCCUGGGUAGCUCUGUCACCCGCUGGCUGCGUGGUCCUGCCCAAGCCGCUCACCCCUCGCAGUCUCUAUCCCCAGCUGUAAAAUGAGGAGGCACGCGAUGGCCCGCCCAGGUCCUCUUCCGGCCGGGCUCUCUGAGCCUUCUAGGGGCGUCUGCAAAGCUCCCCCUAUCAAUUACAUUUCCCAAGUUGGGCCGGCAAAGAUCACCAGAAAGAGCCUCAGACUGUCACGUGGUUAAAUAAAAAAAGCAAACGUCCCAGAUUAACUUUCACUGCACUGCUCCAGCUGACACCUGAUUACCCAAUUUUCUAGUCUCUUUGGGUGAAAUAUUCUUGCUGGGUAGGCCCGCCGGGCGGCUAAAUGGGCAAAUAAUUAUUGGAGAGUUUUGAAGAUGGAGUUAAAAUCUGGGGUCGCUUUCCGAAGGGAUAGUUCUUGGGGCAAUUCGGCCCCGCCCGCAUCCGAAGCGCCGAGCCCCAGGCUGGAGGUGGGACCGGCCUUCAGAACAAACACGGGCUCCGAGCUGGGGACGGCGCCCGGUGACCGCCGCGGGAGCUCCACUGCAGUUUCGUAAGAGGUACCAAAGCAGCCCCUGCGAGUCGCGCCCGGUUCCGCACGGCGGCCCCUCUCCGCGCCCAGGGGUGCGCCCGCAUCCGGGGUCUCAUUCUUGGCUCCGCUGCAUCCCCAUCCUCCCGGCUACCCGCAGCUGGGCGCCCGGAGAAAAAGCCUUAAGUAUGGGGCCAAACUUUAUUCUUGCAACAGGCUUGGGAUAGGAAAAACCAGAGAAGGGGGUGGGGGGCGCGCACGACUAGCGCAGGCAUUUUCGCCGGCUGCCUGCCCCGGCAGUACUCCUAGUUCCCGUCUCCGAGUCACCAGUUUUCUCUCUCUCCCCACUCCACCGCAACAGAGCACCCACUCCUGUCACGCGCGGGUCGCCGGAGGGGCUCCCAGGGAGCAGCCAGAGCCCGGGACGCCGCCUCGCCUUCCCUUCCCCCAGCAUCGCCGAGCGUGCACCGGGGCCGCACGCCGCGGGGGGACCCAGGGGCCCCCAAACAGUCCUACCGCCGUCAUCCUGCCCACCUUUCCCCCCCGGGGGGGUCCAGGAAGGUGUUAUCCCCGCCAGCACGUCCACGUGCCCCGCAGACCCCUAUGUCCAUCCACAGCAGGCAACUGGCAGGAAACUCUGCUCUGCGGGCGCCAGUGAUGAGCCGCGGGGGGCCAGAAGCAGCACGCGGGGUACCGGAGACUGGAGCACUAGGGGACUCUGGGGUAGGGGGCAGGCGCCUGUGCCGGGGCCCCAAGUCCACGUGAAAGUACGGCAGCAAGUGCCGGGAGUCUGAGGGCGCGCCUCCAGCACCCAGAGCCAGCCUGAGGGUCCCCUCGCAGCUUGGCGCCGCUCCACCUCCCCAAGAAAGCGCGAUACACACCAGCUCCGUCGGCGGGGGAGCGGAUUCCAAGAGACCAAAGCGAGACCCUCUCCAGCGGCAGAGGCGUCCCCAACGUUCCGGCAUGCUCUGGGGGGGCCUAUAGCUCCCUGCCUCCGUGACGGAGCGCAUCGCAGGGCGCAUGGAAGAGGUACUCUGCAGCCCCCAAUGCGCCCACUGCUGCCUCCCGGCCUCCGCGGCUGAGGCAGCAACCCCUGCAGCUCAGCACCUCUGGCCCCGGGCCCGCCGCCCCUGCUAGCCGUACCUGCGUG